AUGCAUGUUUCACCUCUUACAGGCAUGGAGAAGAUAAACUUCUCAGGCGGAGAGCCAUUCAUCCAUGACCGGGGCGAGUACCUGGGCCAGCUGGUAAAGUUCUGCAAAGAGGAGCUGCACCUGCCCAGCGUGAGCAUCGUGAGCAACGGGAGCCUGAUCCGCGAGCGGUGGUUCAAGAAUUACGGUCUUCCAGUGCCUCAUAAUUGAGGGCGAGAAUGCUGGAGAAGAUGCUCUGAGACAGGCAGAGCGGUUCGUUAUCAGUGAUGAGGAGUUUGAGAGAUUUCUGGACCGCCACAAAGAGGUGUCCUGCUUGGUGCCCGAGUCCAACCAGAAGAUGAAAGAUUCCUACCUUAUUCUGGAUGAAUAUAUGCGCUUCCUGAAUUGUAGAAACGGGCGGAAGGAUCCUUCCAAGUCCAUUUUGGAUGUUGGAGUACAAGAAGCUAUAAAAUUCAGCGGGUUUGAUGAAAAGAUGUUUCUGAAGCGAGGAGGAAAGUAUGCAUGGAGCAAGGCAGAUCUGAAGCUGGACUGGUAAAGCUGGGAGUGGAUCAAGCCUUCAGCCCACCUGGGGCGACUCUUCCUAAGACUCCAAGUGUCGUGGCCAUUGUGAGCAGUGAUUCCUAUGGGCAUUUCUCCAUGGCCCCAAAUCUGACUUCCUGUGACACAGCUAUCUGAUUAUCUGUGGUGACUGAACACAUCAAUAUCUUGGGUCAUUGAAAUCCAUAGAUAAUGCAAAAUAAUACCUUUAGUUAAUUAGCUUAUUUUGGAUUUAAUGUUUUUUGAGCAGUGUGCACUGUAACUCCUGCAUUUCCAUUUUGAAGUUAUUUUUCCAGUUCUUUUAUUUGAUACAGUUUUUUUUUCUGUUAAAUAUCAAGAUGCCGAUUUUCACAUCUGGAAAAAUUACUAAGUAUCUCACCUGAUUAUUUCUCCUCCUUGGUAUCCUCUUCCCUUUUCUGGCUUUACACCAUUGCAGUCUUGAAUUUUGUACCCAGAAGUUUAGAAAUAGUUGACAGUUGUUCCAAAAUGAUAAUCUUAUCAGUCUUCAAUAAGUGGCUAGAAGGAGAUAAUCAAUCUGCCCAUGCUUUGCACGCCCGGGGCCCACACUGACUAGUCCUGGACCAUCUGCUGUCUCUGUUGGUCACCUUUCUCUUCCAAGGUUCUUAGCAAAAUGAAGAUACACUUUGCAUUUCAUGAUGAAGCUGACAUGGAGUCAGGGCUUGGGUUGCUUUGUGAACCUAUUGCUCAAGCCGCAUGAAUCCAUCAAGCAACAAUAUGUGGGUUUAUUUAAAUAGGUGGCUGUCCCCAUGUCUCUGAAAAGUGACAGCUUAUUGGAUUGGCAUGAGUUGCUCUGAAAAAUCACCAGGCAGAUAAGAAAUGGAUGAAGAGUCUAGAAUGUACCUGGAUUUUAUGUAAAUGAAGCCAUGGUACCAUAGAAUAUUUUUUAAGUAACUCUGAACCACUUGGAAUCAGAAUAUAAUCUAGGUCAAUAUGAGAAGAUACAGUAUCUUCCCUUUCUACACCCAAGAAAAGGGCUUGAGGGACAACGUCAUUGAAACUGGGUCAGGGAACAAAAUCCUCUCCUGUGGAACUAUCACGUGCAGCUUGUUUAUGUACCUUAGGCAGUAUCUCACUGCCGGGAAGAUAAUAAUCCCCUAUCACUGUUUCAAAAAAAGCAAAAUCAUGGAAAAUUUUUUGCCCAUGCAAAGAAAAAUGUUAAUCCAGCCGCCAUUCCAGAGUCGACCACUAGAUGGCAUUUCAGUGUUGCCUGAUUGCCCUGGGCGGCUGAAACGGCACUUCGUAAACUGUUUUCAAGGCCUGGUGAUUUUGAAAGUUUGGUUUUGUAAUAAUUUUUACUCAGAAAAGAUAUUCCUACUUCAAAUUGUGAGUCUCUUUAAUUCAACUGAAAUAUCUUUGUGUCCCAUUUUAAACAGAAUGGGUUGUCAUGAGUUUUCCAUUUUAUAUUGUUUUAUAGUUUUAUAGUUUAAAGAGAAAACUGAAUUAGAAAGCUUUUAUCCCAUAUGGGUUUUGAUAGUAUCUAAGAUAUAAUGACCUUAGUAUAAUCAAUACAAACAUAAAAGAGCUUUUUUACUUAAUAUGAAUGCACUUUGCUAAUCUUCACAUUAUUCAACUAGAGUCAGUUCCACAAACAAGAUCAUGUAUGUGAAAACACUGAAGGCGUUGCAUACAGCAGGUGCUCAGUCAUUAUUAUUUGAAGCAAAAUCUGAAUCUGAAGCUCAGCUCCUCUGGGUUGGAAUGAAUUUCUCUCCAGCUGAAGAAAAAUACUUCUCUUUCCCCAAAGGGCAGUACAACACAAAACUGAAAGCUGCACUUGAGAAAUCAGCAUUUCUAGCUGUUAUUCUAGCUGCAUUUUCCAGCCGUUUUUACGUCACCAUUCCUCUUUCUUAUGUAAUUUCUGGAUUUGAACAUAAUAUUCAAAAUGUUUGAAUAGUUAUUUUUCUUAAGAGGGGGAUAGUAGGGACAUUUAGCAUUAGAGUAAAACUCAAAUUUAGUUUUUAUAUCACGUUGCUUUAUUUUUUCAGUUGUAAAUGAGUUUCAGUUUUGUGAAACAUAUUCCUUUUUUAAAAAAUGGUAAUUUAAUGGAGGUUAUCUCAAUUGAAGUUGAGCGUGUAUAGAAAAUCUCAGAUUUUAAGGAAAUAUAUAUAUUUAUAUAUUUGUCUCCAUAUGUAAUACUCUUGAAUAUUGGUCUGAUGUGUUGUAAGAUGUUUUCUAAUAUAUUAAAAUAUUUUUAGUGGAUA